rnacentral:tRNA from 1 species
AGUAGAGUCAGCUAAACAAGCUCUCGGGCCCAUACCCCGAAAAUGCCCAUCGGCCUCUACUA